GUGCCAGCCGCCGCGGUAAUACGUAGGGUGCAAGCGUUAAUCGGAAUUACUGGGCGUAAAGCGUGCGCAGGCGGUCUUGCAAGACAGAUGUGAAAUCCCCGGGCUUAACCUGGGAACUGCAUUUGUGACUGCAAGGCUGGAGUGCGGCAGAGGGGGAUGGAAUUCCGCGUGUAGCAGUGAAAUGCGUAGAUAUGCGGAGGAACACCGAUGGCGAAGGCAAUCCCCUGGGCCUGCACUGACGCUCAUGCACGAAAGCGUGGGGAGCAAACAGGAUUAGAAACCCCCGUAGUCC
rnacentral:rRNA from 1 species